rnacentral:tRNA from 1 species
CAGAAAAUAGUUUAUUUUAAAAUAUAAAUUUUGGAGAUUUAAGAUAAUUAUUUAAUUUUUUCUGA